rnacentral:rRNA from 1 species
CCCAGACUCCUACGGGAGGCAGCAGUGAGGAAUAUUGGUCAAUGGACGAGAGUCUGAACCAGCCAAGUAGCGUGAAGGAUGACUGCCCUAUGGGUUGUAAACUUCUUUUAUAAAGGAAUAAAACGAGGCACGUGUGCCUUUUUGCAUGUACUUUAUGAAUAAGGAUCGGCUAACUCCGUGCCAGCAGCCGCGGUAAUACGGAGGAUGCGAGCGUUAUCCGGAUUUAUUGGGUUUAAAGGGUGCGCAGGCGGCGAGUUAAGUCAGCGGUAAAAUCGCGGGGCUCAACCCCGUACUGCCGUUGAAACUGCAUCCCUUGAGUGCGCGAGAAGUAUGCGGAAUGCGUGGUGUAGCGGUGAAAUGCAUAGAUAUCACGCAGAACUCCGAUUGCGAAGGCAGCAUACCGGCGCGCAACUGACGCUCAUGCACGAAAGCGUGGGUAUCGAACAGGAUUAGAUACCCUAGUAU